CCUACGGGGGGCAGCAGUGGGGAAUAUUGGACAAUGGGGGCAACCCUGAUCCAGCCAUGCCGCGUGUGUGAAGAAGGCCCUCGGGUUGUAAAGCACUUUCAGUGAGGAAGAACGCCUGGUGGUUAAUACCCAUCAGGAAAGACAUCACUCACAGAAGAAGCACCGGCUAACUCCGUGCCAGCAGCCGCGGUAAUACGGAGGGUGCGAGCGUUAAUCGGAAUUACUGGGCGUAAAGCGCGCGUAGGUGGCUUGAUAAGCCGGUUGUGAAAGCCCCGGGCUCAACCUGGGAACGGCAUCCGGAACUGUCAAGGUAGAGUGCAGGAGAGGAAGGUAGAAUUCCCGGUGUAGCGGUGAAAUGCGUAGAGAUCGGGAGGAAUACCAGUGGCGAAGGCGGCCUUCUGGACUGACACUGACACUGAGGUGCGAAAGCGUGGGUAGCAAACAGGAUUAGAUACCCGGUAGUC
rnacentral:rRNA from 1 species